rnacentral:rRNA from 1 species
CCUACGGGUGGCAGCAGUGAGGAAUAUUGGUCAAUGGACGCAAGUCUGAACCAGCCAUGCCGCGUGCAGGAAGACGGCUCUAUGAGUUGUAAACUGCUUUUGUACGAGGGUAAACGCAGAUACGCGUAUCUGUCUGAAAGUAUCGUACGAAUAAGGAUCGGCUAACUCGGUGCCAGCAGCCGCGGUAAUACGGAGGAUUACAGCGUUAUCCGGAUUUAUUGGGUUUAAAGGGUGCGUAGGCGGUCGGAUAAGGUAGAAGUGAAAUCCCGAGGCUCAACUUCGGAAUUGCCUCUGAUACUGUUAGGCUAGAGAGUAGUUGCGGUAGGCGGAAUGUAUGGUGUAGCGGUGAAAUGCUUAGAGAUCAUAAAGAACACCGAUUGCGAAGGCAGCUUACCAAGCUACUUCUGACGUUGAGGCACGAAAGCGUGGGGAGCAAACAGGAUUAGAUACCCCUGUAGUC